UGGGGUAUAUUGCACAAUGGGGGAAACCCUGAUGCAGCGACGCCGCGUGAACGAAGAAGGUAUUCGUAUCGUAAAGUUCUGUCCUAUGGGAAGAUAAUGACAGUACCAUAGAAGAAAGCUCCGGCUAAAUACGUUCCAGCAGCCGCUGUAAUACGUAUGGAGCGAGCGUUGUCCGGAAUUAUUUGGCGUAAAGGGUACGCAGGCGGUUUAAUAAGUCGAAUGUUAAAGAUCGGGGCUCAACCCCGCAAAGCAUUGGAAACUGAUAAACUUGAGUAGUGGAGAGGAAAGUGGAAUUUCUAGUGUAGUGGUGAAAUACGUAGAUAUUAGGAGGAAUACCAGUAGCGAAGGCGACUUACUGGACACAAAAUGAAGCUGAGGUACGAAAGAGUGGGGAGCAAACAGG
rnacentral:rRNA from 1 species